rnacentral:misc_RNA from 1 species
AAGGAGAAUUACCUACUGUUUAAUUUUGAGGGUUCGUUUUUACGAAUACUCAAAAUUAGCACUUUUAGCAACAGAAUAAACUGAACGCAUGUGAAGUUUGUUUGUUGGCGCUGUGCGUUAGCACUUUAAGCAACGGAAUUUAUUCGUUGGCGCCGUGCUUUAGCACUUUGAAAACUGCAUAUAUAUUUAGUGAUAUGACAUCUAAUUUGUAAUAUAUAAAGCUGAUAACUUUUUAAAAUUAUCGAAGUUGAUAGCUUCUAAUCUAUCAAACCUUUUUAAC